GGGCCCGCACAAGCGGUGGAGUAUGUGGUUUAAUUCGAUGCAACGCGAAGAACCUUACCAGGGUUUGACAUCCUGCGAAUCUUUUGGAAACGAGAGAGUGCCUUCGGGAACGCAGUGACAGGUGGUGCAUGGCUGUCGUCAGCUCGUGUCGUGAGAUGUUGGGUUAAGUCCCGCAACGAGCGCAACCCACGUCUUUAGUUGCCAGCAUUAGUUGGGCACUCUAGAGAGACUGCCGGUGAUAAACCGGAGAAGGUGUGGAUGACGUCAAAGUCAUCAUGCCCCUACAUCUGGGCUACACACGUACUACAAUGCUACGGACAAAGGGCAGCAAGUUCGCGAGGACAAGCAAAUCCCAUAAACGUGGCUCAG
rnacentral:rRNA from 1 species